rnacentral:rRNA from 1 species
CAGAGGGGGCAAGCGUUGUUCGGAAUUACUGGGCGUAAAGGGCGCGUAGGCGGCCUGCUAAGUCGAACGUGAAAUCCCUGGGCUCAACCCAGGAACUGCGUCCGAUACUGGUUGGCUUGAAUUCGGGAGAGGGAUGUGGAAUUCCAGGUGUAGCGGUGAAAUGCGUAGAUAUCUGGAGGAACACCGGUGGCGAAGGCGGCAUCCUGGACCGAUAUUGACGCUGAUGCGCGAAAGCCAGGGGAGCAAACGGGAUUAGAUACCCCGGUAGUCCUGGCCCUAAACGAUGAAUGCUUGGUGUGGCGGGUAUCGAUCCCUGCCGUGCCGAAGCUAACGCAUUAAGCAUUCCGCCUGGGGAGUACGGUCGCAAGGCCG